CCCCUCUCCAGCCGCAGUGGGGGUGCGGGUGCAGCUCCCCACUUCCCCCCAGGCUCUCUCCCUCAGGGGCUCGGGAGAGGGACGAACUUGUCAGCUGGGCAGGGGCCAGGGAUGUGUGCCCAGGGCGGUUCGGGGGAGAGAGUGAGCGGCUGGCCCUUCACUAGGAGAGAGCGCGCAUGGCACAGGGCAGGAGGCUCCCCGGACGGGCGUGGCAUCUUCUGGUGAGAACGUGGUGUGUCCCAGGACCACCUGAGGCUUACAGGAGCCCAGAGGAUGUGGACCCCUUGGCUCCCUGAUGGAAGAGUUGGACGGGAGGCAUGGGUCUGUGGCUGCAGACCUGAGUCAAGUUGAAGAGCAAGAUCUUGCCUGUGAUCUGUGAAGGAGCUUGUGAAAAACUAAACCCAACCCAACCUGCCCUCCAGGUUUGAACUGUCGAAACUCUGCGGCAGCGAGGGGGCAUUCUAGAGGAGAGAGGAAGCAGGCCAUGAAACAGAUUUGCAGCUGCCUGCAGUGGUGGUGUGCGGUUCCCCUCUAACCACCUGUGUGCCCCUGGGCAAGUGACCCAACCCCUCUGGGACUACUUAUGACAUGAAGCUGGACUGGGGAGCUCCACAAUCCCUUCAUAAUAGGGGAUUUUGACUAGCUUAAAGGGAAAAGCCAGGGAGAGCCAGAGGGGCUCCUGACAUUUGGCUGUCUACCCCCAGAGGUGUGUGCUCACCCCGUUCCAUUAGCACAAAAGGUACUCACUGUGAUGUCAUGAGCGUAGGGGUGACACCCACACUGGUGCCUCCCCCAGUUUGUAUUUGAUGUAUUACUCAAGCCAUCACCGAGCAACAUGGUAUCUCUCAUUGACAAGCUGUGUGACCCUGCGCAGGUUACUCCACCCCUCUGAUCUUCAAUUUCUUCCUCUAAAGUAUGGUGCCAUGUGAAACUUUUACAAUGGUAAAUCACAAUAAAUAU